GACGAACGCUGGCGGCGUGCUUAACACAUGCAAGUCGAACGGAAAGGCCCUGCUUGCAGGGUGCUCGAGUGGCGAACGGGUGAGUAACACGUGGGUGAUCUGCCCCUUACUUUGGGAUAAGCCUGGGAAACUGGGUCUAAUACUGGAUAGGACCAUGCUGUAGGUGGUGUGGUGGAAAGAUUAGUUUCGGUAAGGGAUGAGCUCGCGGCCUAUCAGCUUGUUGGUGGGGUAAUGGCCUACCAAGGCGUCGACGGGUAGCCGGCCUGGGAGGGGGGACGGCCACAUUGGGACUGGGAUACGGCCCAGACUCCUACGGGAGGCAGCAGUGGGGAAUAUUGCACAAUGGGCGCAAGCCUGAUGCAGCGACGCCGCGUGGGGGAUGACGGCCUUCGGGUUGUAAACUCCUUUCAGCCAUGACGAAGCCCUUGUGGUGACGGUAGUGGUAGAAGAAGCACCGGCUAACUACGUG
rnacentral:rRNA from 1 species